rnacentral:rRNA from 1 species
UACGUAGGGGGCAAGCGUUGUCCGGAAUUAUUGGGCGUAAGGCGCACGCAGGCGGUCUGCCAAGUUUGGAGUGACAGUUGGUGGCUCAACCACCGAAGUGCUUCGAAAACUGACAGACUUGAGGACUUCAGAGGGACACGGAAUUCCGGGUGGAGUGGUGAAAUGCGUAGAGAUCCGGAGGAACACCGAAGGCGAAGGCAGUGUCCUGGGGAGUACCUGACGCUCAGGUGCGAAAGCUAGGGGAGCGAACGGG